CCUACGGGUGGCAGCAGUGAGGAAUAUUGGUCAAUGGUCGGGAGACUGAACCAGCCAAGCCGCGUGAGGGAUGAAGGUACAGAGUAUCGUAAACCUCUUUUGUCAGGGAACAAAGGCGGGGACGUGUCCCCGGAUGAGUGUACCUGAAGAAAAAGCAUCGGUUAACUCCGUGCCAGCCGCCGCGGUAAUACGGAGGAUGCGAGCGUUAUCCGGAUUUAUGGGGUUUAAAGGGUGCGCGGGGGGUCGGUUAAGGCAGCGGUCAAAGCCCGGGGCACAACCCCGGCCCGCCGUUGAAACUGGCAGUCUCGAGUUGGAGAGAAGUAUGCGGAAUGCGCGGUGUAGCGGUGAAAUGCAUAGAUAUCGCGCAGAACUCCGAUUGCGAAGGCAGCAUGCCGGCUCCACACUGACGCUGAGGCACGAAAGCGUGGGUAUCGAACAGGAUUAGAUACCCUGGUAGUC
rnacentral:rRNA from 1 species